AAAGGAAUAGACGGGGACUCGCACAAGCGGUGGAACAUGUGGUUUAAUUCGAUGACACACGAAGAACCUUACCAGGGAUUGACAUCUAGGGAAUCUCGCCGAAAGGCAGGAGUGCCCGCAAGGGAACCCUAAGACAGGUGUUGCACGGUUGUCGUCAGCUCGUGUCGUGAGAUGUGGCCUUAAGUGGUCAAACGAGCGAAACCUAUGUCCUGUGUUAAUUUUCACAGGAGACUGCCCCGGUUUACGGGGAGGAAGGCGUAGACGACGUCAAAUCAGCGUGGCUCUUACACCCUGGGCUACACACAUGUUACAAUGGCAGAUUACAAAGAGUUGCAAAACCGUAAGGUCAAGCCAAUCUCGUAAAAGCUGCCUCAGUUCGGAUUGAGGGCUGCAAUUCGCCCUCAUGAAGCUGGAAUCGCUAGUAACCGUGGGUCAGCUAUACCACGGUGAAUACGUUCUCGAGUCUUGUACACACCGCCCGU
rnacentral:rRNA from 1 species